UCGCAUCUGUGCAUGCAGCAUAUCAAUAAGCGGAGGAAAAGAAACUAACAAGGAUUCCCCUAGUAACGGCGAGUGAAGCGGGAAGAGCUCAAAUUUGAAAUCUUAAAGGGUUUCCCUUUACGAAUUGUAGUUUAAAGAAGUGUUUUCUGUUGAGGUUUUGGUAAAAGUUCUUUGGAAUAGGACAUCAUAGAGGGUGAGAAUCCCGUAUUUGACCUUUACUUUCAACUUUGUGAUACACUUUCAAAGAGUCGGAUUGUUUGGGAAUGCAGUCCAAAAUGGGUGGUAAAUUUCAUCUAAAGCUAAAUAUUGGCGAGAGACCGAUAGCGAACAAGUACCGUGAGGGAAAGAUGAAAAGAACUUUGAAAAGAGAGUUAAACAGUACGUGAAAUUGUCAAAAGGGAAGCGUUUGACACCAGUGUUGUUUUUCUGAAAAUCAAUUAAAGAACUGUUUAUGCUAAGCUGUUUAGACUUUAUCAGCUAACUGUUUAGUUUUGAGCUUUUCUUUAAUGCACUUUUCAGUUAACAAGUCAACAUCAAUUUCUUUUGCUGUAAAAAAGCUUGAGGAAGGUGGCUUGAGAUUCGUCUUAAGUGUUUAUAGCCUCUUGCCUAUGCAGUCGGAGAGAUUGAGGUCUGCAGCGUAGAUCCUUCGGGGCUAAAUGCAUUUGUGCUAAGUUAUAGCAUUCUAUAGACAACUUGUUGACUAUGAUUUGUCUUGUAGCUUACUCGCUUAUGUUAUUUUACCUACGCUUAGGAUGUUGAGCGCAUGUCUCUCUCU
rnacentral:rRNA from 1 species